rnacentral:rRNA from 1 species
AUGAACGCUGGCGGCGUGCCUAAUACCUGCCAGUCGAGCGAACGGACGAGAAGCUUGCUUCUCUAAUGUUAGCGGCGGACGGGUGAGUAACACGUGGAUAACCUACCUAUAAGACUGGGAUAACUUCGGGAAACCGUAGCUAAUACCGGAUAAUAUUUUGAACCGCAUGGUUCAAAAGUGAAAGACGGUCUUGCUGUCACUUAUAGAUGGAUCCGCGCUGCAUUAGCUAGUUGGUAAGGUAACGGCUUACCAAGGCAACGAUGCAUAGCCGACCUGAGAGGGUGAUCGGCCACACUGGAACUGGGACACGGUCCAGACUCCUACGGGAGGCAGCAGUAGGGAAUCUUCCGCAAUGGGCGAAAGCCUGACGGAGCAACGCCGCGUGAGUGAUGAAGGUCUUCGGAUCGUAAAACUCUGUUAUUAGGGAAGAACAUAUGUGUAAGUAACUGUGCACAUCUUGACGGUACCUAAUCAGAAAGCCACGGCUAACUACGUG